AGGCUGUGGAUCUCAACAAAACAGGAAGCAUAAUUUCAUUAAAUGAAGGUCAGGUUUGAAAUUCAGCUUAAAAGAUCAUUGCAAUUUGUUGAUGGAACCAUUAAAUGUAAAUGAAAAUUUUUUAUUGCACCAAAACAAAUGCAAAAAAAAGUGGUUGAUAUUAUUUCAGAAAUUUGAAGUGUGAAUGGUGAAUAUUUCUCCUCAAAUAAUGUGCAGCUAGCAAUAAGAAACCUCCAUGAAGCUAUAGAUAAGUUGUGCCAAGGAUUAGGUAUCAGAACAAAGGAGAGAGGCUUGGAAGUGAUUUGGACACUGCAAGUUCAUGGAGUAGAGAUCCUGUUGGUGAGCUAUACUCACAACUCAGUGAAGUGCAAGCAAAUCUCACUCCAUUCAAGAACUAGCCUCACCUGAGCUUCAACAACACUUUAACACAUAGAAUUUGGGAGAGAAAAUCCUAACUCAAUGAUCAAGUUGCACUCUUGAACAUCUACUCAAGGGAUCCAAACAGAGAAAAGUACCAAGAUAACUGCACACUGAAGGACACACACAUAUACAAGAGGAAGAGGAAUCCAUUUCAACAGAUGGACAAGUCCAAGACUUCGGAAAACAUGAGAAAACUGAUAAACAAAUCUCCCCUCAAAAUUUAUAAUUCCCUGACAAAGGAAGCUGCAGAUCUGAAAAUGAAUAAAAUUCCAGAGGACUACUAUAAAACUGAUUAUUAAAAUGUUUAAUGAAAUAAAAGAUGAUCGAAGGAAUGAAUUAAGAGAGCAAAUACAGGAGGUGGAACACCAUUUCAACAUAGAAAUGGAGAUACUAAAAAGGAAUCAAUCAGAACUCCUAGAAAUGAAAGACACAGUGAAUCAAAUAAAAAAUUCACUAGAAAGUAUCAUCAACUAAUUAGAUUACAUAGAAAACUGAACUUUAGGCCUUGAAAACAGAGUAUAUGAAUCUGAACACUCAGUAUAAAAUAAAGGGGAAAAAAGAUCAUCAUUAGAAUGUGCAAAAAUCCUGGGAACACCUGAAGAGAUCAAAUUUGAGAGUUUGAGAGUCAUUGAGGGGAAGAUAAUCUGGAGAUUCAAUAAGCAUUAAGAUUUUUUCAGUAAAAUAAUAGCAGGAAAAUUUUCUAAGCUUAGAAAUGGAUGAACAACCACAUACAGAAUGCAUAUAGAACCCCAAAUAGACAAGACCAAAAAAGAACCUCCCCAAGAUACAUCAUAAUGGAAGUACCUAAUGUAGUAAAUGAGCAAAAAACAUUAAAAGCUGCAAGAGAAAAACAUCAGGUUAUAUUUAGAAAUAGAGCAAUAAGACUCACUUCUGACUUAUCCACUCAAACCUUAAAAUCAAAGAGGGCCUGAAAUGAGAUAUUCCAUAUUCUGAAAGAAAGCAAUUUCCAUACAAAAUUGCUAUAUCCAGCAAAGAUCUCUUUCAAAAUCAAAGGGUAAAUAAAAACUUUCAUUAAUUAAAAAGUCAGCACUAUAAAAAGAGUUAAACAUAUAUCACACACAGAAGAAAUCAGAAACAUACCCUAAAGCUACCAAAUGGAUGAUGCUGCCUGAAAGAGCAAUUGAUUAUAUGAAAAUUAAGAUAGAAUUGAGUAUAUCAAAUCAAAAUAGAAGG